GAUGAACGCUGGCGGCGUGCCUAAUACAUGCAAGUCGAGCGAACGGACGAGAAGCUUGCUUCUCUGAUGUUAGCGGCGGACGGGUGAGUAACACGUGGAUAACCUACCUAUAAGACUGGGAUAACUUCGGGAAACCGGAGCUAAUACCGGAUAAUAUUUUGAACCGCAUGGUUCAAAAGUGAAAGACGGUCUUGCUGUCACUUAUAGAUGGAUCCGCGCUGCAUUAGCUAGUUGGUAAGGUAACGGCUUACCAAGGCAACGAUGCAUAGCCGACCUGAGAGGGUGAUCGGCCACACUGGAACUGAGGCACGGUCCAGACUCCUACGGGAGGCAGCAGUAGGGAAUCUUCCGCAAAGGGCGAAAGCCUGAUGGAGCAACGCCGCGUGAGUGAUGAAGGUCUUCGGAUCGUAAAACUCUGUUAUUAGGGAAGAACAUAUGUGUAAGUAACUGUGCACAUCUUGACGGUACCUAAUCAGAAAGCCACGGCUAACUACGUG
rnacentral:rRNA from 1 species